rnacentral:rRNA from 1 species
CCUACGGGGGGCAGCAGUAGGGAAUAUUGCUCAAUGGGGGAAACCCUGAAGCAGCAACGCCGCGUGGAGGAUGAAGGUUUUCGGAUUGUAAACUCCUUUUGUUAGAGAAGAUAAUGACGGUAUCUAACGAAUAAGCACCGGCUAACUCCGUGCCAGCAGCCGCGGUAAUACGGAGGGUGCAAGCGUUACUCGGAAUCACUGGGCGUAAAGAGCGCGUAGGCGGGAGAGCAAGUCAGAUGUGAAAUCCUAUGGCUUAACCAUAGAACUGCAUUUGAAACUGUUAGUCUAGAGUAUGGGAGAGGUAGGUGGAAUUCUUGGUGUAGGGGUAAAAUGCGUAGAGAUCAAGAGGAAUACUCAUUGCGAAGGCGACCUGCUAGAACAUAACUGACGCUGAUGCGCGAAAGCGUGGGGAGCAAACAGGAUUAGAUACCCCUGUAGUC